UCUAAUUCAUGAAUUCCAGUAAUUUUUCUUGUACCUAAUCUCUCAGAUCGUCAUUAAUAAUUAGUAGAAACUAUCUCCUCAAACAAAUAAUAGGCCUCAUCAAUGGAUUUACUCAUGAGUGCACCUCCAGCGGCAGCAUCAAUAGUAGUUCUAAAAUGUCAUGACCCGGAACUCUCAUCGAGCCCGUGACAAACGCCGCGACGUCCAGAUAGGCACUCAUUACCCCGAAUGCUGAUCGGAACCCCACAAGGCUUAGCAUCAGCUUCGGCAUCUCCCCGAUGAGCGACAGUUAUUAAAUCUCGCAUUUCAAGAAAUCAUAAGUCAUUUCCAAAUUAAAAUAAUAAAAUAUUAUUUUCUGGCUUACAGGGGCAUUUUCGUCAUUUUUCUUCGAAAAUAUCGAAACCUGUCAAAAACAUGGUGUAAAAGAUAGAUAUGUUCAUAUAUACUUUAAAUUAGAUAACUGAAGUAUCAAAUUACUUUUACAGUGACACGUAGGCCCCCAACUGACCAAAAAGGUGUAGGGCUAUGAACCCUUACUUUCUAGGAUGUAACUCCGAGAUUAAUUCUCGUCUUAAUCAACUAUCAACAAACUGUCCUGAGCCUGAAAAAAUGCAUAGGAAGAGGGGUGAGAUUAUGAUUACAUAAUCUCAGUGAGUAAACAAUUACCAUCAAAAGCAUCUAAAGCUGAGUAGAUGGAUACAAUAUAAAAACAAUAUAUUUCAAUAAUGUUCAUAAUGCAAAAUUCGUUUCAAUCUACACCAAAUAAUUUCUUUUCAUCAAAAUUUCCCCGGCUUAUGAGUUUCUUAAACUUGGCCCCUACCAGAAUCAUUCUCGCGGGUACCCUCUUCAAGGUAUCACACUAAGACCGCUAAGGCUGUUAAAUGAUCCAUACCCAUGAACACGUUUUCGCAUCUGACACACAACCAUUCCUUGACGUUGGCUGAGUCUCACUCUCACGUGGUGACCCGAAUGUGAGGUGCACUCAAAUCUUACCUCAGGAGAUACUUCAUCCAACAUCUCCCCCUAGAGGUAAUUAUAUAAUUGGGUUACCGUACCCCUCUCAUAGGCAGUCCACGGAAACCCCCACCACUGCAGUGACCAUUUAAUAUACCACCAGACCCAUAAAAUUUCCAAUAGCAUAAUAUGACGAAUAAAAUUUAAUCCAAUCUAUCGAGACCAAUCCAAAACUGUUCAUAUAUUUCAUGCCAAUCCAAAAAUUUAGCCAUCAUGCUACCAUAGUGUCAUAAGCCACAAUUUCAAUAACAUAUAAAAUCAUAAAUUCAACACAGUCUCCAUAUACUCAAUUUUUCCAAAACAAUAUUAGAUUUCAAAACCAAUAUAAAUCUCAUUUUUAUUAAAAAAAAUAUUUUAAUUGAAAAACAUAAUAUUUUAUAAUUUAAACUCACCAUUUAAUAAAAGCAUCAAACAAGUAUAAUUACUCUAGAUAUUUAAGACGAUAAAUUGUCCACUCACAGUAUUAGGAGUAGAAAUACUCCUAUUUUCAGUCCACGGGUACAGUCCUUUACCCGUAUCCAAUGACUCACCACUUAGCCAUAAUCCAUGACACAUAUUCCAAUUAAAUUGUGUCUAACAGUCAUAAGCUAUUUCAGGCUCAAUAUAUAUGCAUGAUAUGAAAUGAAAAAUGCACGGGUAGCCAUCUAGACCCGGUAUUAGCCUAAGUCGAUUUUUCAUCCGAUAAAUUUGCCAAUGAGUCCAAUUUCACUUCAACUUGCUCCAUUUCUUUUCCAAUCCCUCAAUUCACCAAGCACAACUAAUUAACACACAAUUAGGCAAAUUUAACUUCACUUUUCUUCUUGGAACUUUCGGCCAACAAUGGUACACUAACUCCGUGAUUUUUCCUAUUUAAUUUUCUCUCCAUAAUUCAUUAAUUCUUACACCAAAAACUAUUAUUUCUUAAUCAAAUCACCUAGAAUAACAUCCCAUUCUUCCUCAUUAUUCACUUAAAAAAUUCGGCUAUUGAUGGGCACCAAACCUUUGGUGGUUUUCUACAUUUGUUUUCAUGCUACACAUCAUUAAUUACCUAAAAACACUAACAUACCUAAAAAUCAAAUCAAUCCAAGAUCAUUCUCUCUCCAUACUCAUUUUGACCAGCCAUGAAUUCAUCAUGAAAACAUGUAAUUUAACCAUGAAAAUUAAGGAAAAAUGCAUGGGUAAGGUCAAUCACUAGCAAAAUCAAAGAAAUUUUACCUUUGCUUGAUCAAAUCCUUGAAUUCCAACACUUUCUCUUUGAUUUUUCCCACCUAGGGUUUGUUCUUCCUUGAUUUCUCUUCUCUUCUAG
rnacentral:lncRNA from 1 species